GACGAACGCUGGCGGCGUGCUUAACACAUGCAAGUCGAACGGAAAGGCCCUGCUUUUGUGGGGUGCUCGAGUGGCGAACGGGUGAGUAACACGUGAGUAACCUGCCCUUGACUUUGGGAUAACUUCAGGAAACUGGGGCUAAUACCGGAUAGGAGCUCCUGCUGCAUGGUGGGGGUUGGAAAGUUUCGGCGGUUGGGGAUGGACUCGCGGCUUAUCAGCUUGUUGGUGGGGUAGUGGCUUACCAAGGCUUUGACGGGUAGCCGGCCUGAGAGGGUGAACGGGCUCAAGGGGACUGAGAGAAGCCCCAGUCUCGUAAGGGAGGCAGUAGGGGGGAAUAUGGUACAAUGGGAGGAAGACUGAUGCAGCAACGCCGCGGGUGGGAAGACGGUCUGUGGGUGGGAAACCGCUGUCGCCUGUGACGAAGCGGUAGUGACGGUAAGGGGUAAAGAAGCACCGGCUAACUACGUG
rnacentral:rRNA from 1 species